rnacentral:tRNA from 1 species
AGCUCAGUUGAUUAGAGUGUGGUGUUGAUAACACCAAGGUUGUGGGUUUGAUCCCCAU